rfam:Cajanus cajan CcLG07_391, whole genome shotgun sequence.
UCAACGGGUGAGUAAACCUGUAAGGCGCAAGGAAGCUGAUUGGCGGGAUCCCCUUGUGGGUUGCACCCUCGACCGACCCUGAUCUUUUGUGAAGGGUUCGAGUGAGAGCAUACCUGUCGGGACCCGAAACAUGAUGAACUAUGCCUGAGCGGGGCGAAGGCAGAGGAAACUCUGGUGGAGGCCCGCAGUGAUACUAACGUGCAAAUCGUUUGUCUGACUUAGGUAUACGGGCGAAAGACUAAUCGAACCGUCUAGUAGCUGGUUCCCUCCGAAGUUUCCCUCAGGAUAGUUGGAGCCUAUGGGCGAGUUAUAUCGGGUAAAGCCAAUGAUUAGAGGCAUCGGGGGCGCAACGCCCUCGACCUAUUCUCAAACUUUAAAUAGGUAGGGCGGUGUGGCUGCUUUGUUGAGGCACUCCAUGGAAUCGACAGCUCUAAGUGGGCCAUUUUUGGUAAGCAGAACUGGCGAUGCGGGAUGAACCGAAAGUUGGGUUACGGUGCCCAACUACGCGGUAACCUAGACCCCACAAAGGGUGUUGGUCGAUUAAGACAGCAGGACGGUGGUCAUGGAAGUCGAAAUCCACUAAGGAGUGUGUAACAACUCACCUGUCGAAUCAACUAGCCCCGAAAAUGGAUGCUGCUAAAGCGUGCGACCUAUACCCGGCCGUUGAGGCAAGAGCCAAGCCUCAAUGAGUAGGAGGGCGCGGAGGUUCCUAUAAAACCCGGGGUGUGAGCCCGGGCGGAGUGUUCGUCGGUGCAGAU